AGAGUUUGAUCAUGGCUCAGAUUGAACGCUGGCGGCAUGCCUUACACAUGCAAGUCGAACGGCAGCACGGGAGCAAUCCUGGUGGCGAGUGGCGAACGGGUGAGUAAUACAUCAGAACGUGCCCUGUCGUGGGGGAUAACUAGUCGAAAGAUUAGCUAAUACCGCAUACGACCUGAGGGUGAAAGCGGGGGACCGUAAGGCCUCGCGCGAUAGGAGCGGCCGAUGUCCGAUUAGCUAGUUGGUGAGGUAAGAGCUCACCAAGGCGACGAUCAGUAGCUGGUCUGAGAGGACGAUCAGCCACACUGGGACUGAGACACGGCCCAGACUCCUACGGGAGGCAGCAGUGGGGAAUUUUGGACAAUGGGGGCAACCCUGAUCCAGCAAUGCCGCGUGUGUGAAGAAGGCCUUCGGGUUGUAAAGCACUUUUGUCCGGAAAGAAAUCCCCUGGGAUAAUACCUCGGGGGGAUGACGGUACCGGAAGAAUAAGCACCGGCUAACUACGUGCCAGCAGCCGCGGUAAUACGUAGGGUGCGAGCGUUAAUCGGAAUUACUGGGCGUAAAGCGUGCGCAGGCGGUUUUGUAAGACAGGCGUGAAAUCCCCGAGCUCAACUUGGGAAUGGCGCUUGUGACUGCAAGGCUAGAGUAUGUCAGAGGGGGGUAGAAUUCCACGUGUAGCAGUGAAAUGCGUAGAGAUGUGGAGGAAUACCGAUGGCGAAGGCAGCCCCCUGGGACGUCACUGACGCUCAUGCACGAAAGCGUGGGGAGCAAACAGGAUUAGAUACCCCGGUAGU
rnacentral:rRNA from 1 species